rnacentral:ncRNA from 13 species
CAGAUGGCGGAAUUGGUAGACGCGCUGCGUUCAGGUCGCAGUGGCCGCAAGGCCGUGAAGGUUCGAGUCCUUUUCUGGG